rnacentral:rRNA from 1 species
UAAAGUUAUGGCCCAGGACUUCCUGUUUUCCCAUAUACCACACCCAGACAAAUGGAGCAGGCAUCAGGCAUAACUACCAGCCAAAAACACCUAAUAACAUCACACCUACAAGGGCACGCAGCAGUAAUCAACAUGAGACCAGGGGCAAGACACAGCCUGACCUAGUUACGGUCAAUUACAAUGGGCCAGUCUUAUACCAGCCACCACAGUUAUACGGGACACUCAAAACAACAGGCACCAGCAUAUACCGUGGCUAAAACUGUAACAAGCCAAAUUAAGAAACAGCCAACACCGACAUGUAAAACAAGGGUCCAAUGGGAAACCCACCACUUAACACUCAAUGGAUUUUUGACCCACAAAAGUUAGGAUACAAACUAGGAUUAGACACCUUACUAUGCCCAACCAUAAACAUCGUCUGGCCAGAAAAAUACUAGCAAAAGCCAGAAUCUCAAGGGACUCGAAGGUGUUCUACACCCCCUAGAGGAGCCUGUCCUAUAACUGAUAACCCACGAUAAACCUCACCACUCCUAGACCAUUCAGCAUAUAUACCUUCGUUGUCAGUCUGUCUUUAAGAACAGUGGACUAAACCGAUUAAAGUGCAAAAACGUCAGGUCAAGGUGUAGCUUACGUCGGGGGAGGGGAGAGAUGGGCUACAUUACCACUAAUACUGGUCACUCAGGGAACAUAAUCUGAAAUAAGUUAUAAAAAAAGAGAAUUUAGCAGUAAGAAACCCUGCCCUGGAACGUGUACACACCACUUGUCACCCCCAUCAACACCACCAAAAAUAUACAUAAUACCACUUUCAAAACAGGAAGGGGAAAGUCGUAACAUGGUAAGCGUACCGGAAGGUGCGCUUGGAAGA